UACAGAGGGGGCAAGCGUUGUUCGGAAUUACUGGGCGUAAAGGGCGCGUAGGCGGCCUGCUAAGUCGAACGUGAAAUCCCCGGGCUCAACCCGGGAACUGCGUCCGAUACUGGCAGGCUUGAAUCCGGGAGAGGGAUGCGGAAUUCCAGGUGUAGCGGUGAAAUGCGUAGAUAUCAGGAAGAACACCCGUGGCUAAGGCGGCUCUCUAGUACGGUACUGACGCUGAGACGCGAAAGCGUGGGGAGCGAACAGG
rnacentral:rRNA from 1 species